GCCAAUCCAGUCUCAAGGAACGCAUUUCCCUCCUCACCUUUGCUUCGGCGUUCGGUCUCCAACCUGGCUCUACGUCCGACAGAGACACUUCCUUGCUCGAAUAAAGAUUCAAUUCAGGAUGUAAUGCCUGUGGUGUUUUGAGUGACUAGCCUAGUGGAUCCUGUCUGAGCAGCUAUCCAAGAAAGCAAGCAACAAAGAUGUCCAGUCUGCCCUGCAAGGAGAGGGAGUUGAUGUAGCCUCCUCCACUGUGCCACUUCUCUUGGCCCACUUCAAGGAGGACAAGGAAGGACUUCUCCUUCAAGCUGAUGCAGGUGCAUCAGCUGCUGAUGUCGAAGAGGCACUUACCCUGCCUGCCACUCCUCGGUUGAUACUGGUUGG